AAGUUGUGUUUGUUCCACUUCACAAAAGGGGGAAAAUGUUAAAAUACCCCGCACCAAAUCUCCCGGCUUUGGUCGGAAAAGGAUCCGAGAAGCCUCAGGCUCCGGGCUCUCCAUUUAUUUUUUCCGCAACCCCACAGGCGACGCGUCCAGGAGCCCCCAACUCCCCCAACUCCGAGGGAAGUCCAGGACGGUGGGAGACCACUUUCUGUUUUUCUCUUAAAUUACCUGUUCGCUCCUUUGCCCCUGAAAGUUCUUUUUCUCAGGGGUGGUUGGGCACAUGGUUGCCUUCUUUGGGAGACAAAAACGAAAUGGUUUCCACCUAAAUGUUCACGAUAAUUCUCUUUCUUCGCGAGGGAAGUAACACAGGUCCUCUGUGAAUUCUGCGCACAGACCCACAGGAACCGUGGACUGGGACAAGGAUUCCCGGGCCAGUCCAAAGCAGUUAGGGUUGGAUGAAAGGGGGUCCAAAGGCCUUGGGGGGUGUCCUGGACCGUGGGGGGUUAGAGACUUAAAUCUUAGAUUUGAAGACACUGAAAUUCUUUAUCAACUCCGUCUUUUCGUAGAUGGGGGCGGGGCACUCUUCACUUCUCCAAAGGCGAGAAAUUGGGCAGUUUUUAAAAAAGAUCUCAGGUUCCCCUCUGGGUUGUGCAAGGCAGGGGGUCUGACCCUCAAGAAUAGAGAUAAUAAGGGAAGAAGGGAGACCCCCUAAGCCUGCAAAGAAUCCUCAAUAGACUUGGUAGCUAUAGACAUUGAGAUGAUCUCUCUCCAAAGAAAACAAGCAUUUAUUUAUUUAUUUUUAUAUGUUCCAAUAAAGACAUGAACUUCAGCACGUGAAAAUUCUAGAUUACUUCCAGUAACAACAUCUAACCCAUGUUAUGGUAUAGAAGGAAACUCUCUACCUGGGAAUUCGACGGUCUCGAUGGAAGGAAAGCAGCUAACAUUAAUGUGAUACACUUUUAUAAGGUGAACUGGAGAUUCGAAGUAGAACAAAAUGGAUGGCAAAUUUUUAAAUAGAAAUAGAGGAAAAUUCCUAGAACAUGGACCAAGGAAGUAUUACAACUUACCCGAAAUUCCCAUUCAAAUAUACAGCCACAUGAAAAUAUGUGUUAAGGAUGGCAGCCUUGGACCGGGGUCAAAAAAGGUUAUACAACUUAAGUUCAGUGAUGAAAAAAAAAAAAAAAAAAUGAGGCAUUAUUUAGACUAAGGAUAACUCCAUUGUAAGUUUCACCGAAUAACGUUUGUUCAACAUUCGGAAAUCGUGUCUACUACUGAUCAUGUCCUCUGAGAAUUAACAGCCUAAUGAGAUUAGUGAUGGAUGAAUUAGCAGCCAUAGAAAACCACUCUAGACCUGCCAUCCCUCGCUGUGAUUUUGGAUAUAGGAAUCGUAAGAAAUUAUUGAAAGUGUCUGAACAACUAAAGCACUUUUAUCACACUAAUGUAUCUUGGCAUCGAAAUAACGAAAUCAAAUAAGAACAUGCACUUUGCUCUGAUUCUAUGUACAAGGAGUACCCCCCCCCCCCAGCCAUUUGAAAUUCAGUGAAAUGUCCUGUACCCACCAGGAAAAUAGCAAUGUAGAAUCUUGAUUGCCAGGUCACUGGACCUCCCCUCACCAUCAGUCGGCGUCCUGAUUUAUACAUCAACAGCACAUAAGUUCGAUUCCUGUGAUUCAAGUCUCUAAUAUGAUCACUCAGGUUGACUCGAUCAAAACACAUCUCCCUACAGGCAAGUCUGACGUCCAGAUCUCAGGUCAUUCGGACACCAGCCACUCAGUCUUGCUCCCAACCUCCUGGCCACAGGGUAGAGACCAGAAGGCAGAGAAACAAGAUUCUUGAUCUUCUCCAGAUUCUUGUAAUGCAUGUUGAGAAAAGCUAUCCAAAAAUGAAAAAUGAGGCAAAACUGUU